CUCCUACGGGAGGCAGCAGUGAGGAAUAUUGGUCAAUGGACGAGAGUCUGAACCAGCCAAGUAGCGUGAAGGAUGACUGCCCUAUGGGUUGUAAACUUCUUUUAUAUGGGAAUAAAGUGAGCCACGUGUGGCUUUUUGUAUGUACCAUACGAAUAAGGAUCGGCUAACUCCGUGCCAGCAGCCGCGGUAAUACGGAGGAUCCAAGCGUUAUCCGGAUUUAUUGGGUUUAAAGGGAGCGUAGGCGGUAUUAUUAAGUCAGUUGUGAAAGUUUGCGGCUCAACCGUAAAAUUGCAGUUGAUACUGGUAGUCUUGAGUGCAGCAGAGGUAGGCGGAAUUCGUGGUGUAGCGGUGAAAUGCUUAGAUAUCACGAAGAACUCCGAUUGCGAAGGCAGCUUACUGGACUGUAACUGACGCUGAUGCUCGAAAGUGUGGGUAUCAAACAGGAUUAGAUACCCUGGUAGUCCACACAGUAAACGAUGAAUACUCGCUGUUUGCGAUAUACAGCAAGCGGCCAAGCGAAAGCAUUAAGUAUUCCACCUGGGGAGUACGCCGGCAACGGUGAAACUCAAAGGAAUUGACGGGGGCCCGCACAAGCGGAGGAACAUGUGGUUUAAUUCGAUGAUACGCGAGGAACCUUACCCGGGCUUAAAUUGCAACUGACGGAUUUGGAAACAGAUCUUCCUUCGGGCAGUUGUGAAGGUGCUGCAUGGUUGUCGUCAGCUCGUGCCGUGAGGUGUCGGCUUAAGUGCCAUAACGAGCGCAACCCUUAUCUUUAGUUACUAACAGGUCAUGCUGAGGACUCUAGAGAGACUGCCGUCGUAAGAUGUGAGGAAGGUGGGGAUGACGUCAAAUCAGCACGGCCCUUACGUCCGGGGCUACACACGUGUUACAAUGGGGGGUACAGAAGGCAGCUACACAGCGAUGUGAUGCUAAUCCCAAAAGCCUCUCUCAGUUCGGAUUGGAGUCUGCAACCCGACUCCAUGAAGCUGGAUUCGCUAGUAAUCGCGCAUCAGCCACGGCGCGGUGAAUACGUUCCCGGGCCUUGUACACACCGC
rnacentral:rRNA from 1 species